GGGACGUGGCAGGGGUAAGCUGAGGGAAGUCUUUUAGGAUCACCCAGAAGUUCAUGAAUUAUGACAGUCUCCAGAUGGCUUUUACAACGUGUCCCGGGCCGUUAAGGAGGCAGAAAUGAAGUGAUUCCGCUGGUGUCAGAGGAAGAAGCCACCCUAUUCUCCCGGUGUCAGUGACAGCAAAAACGUGGCCCAUCUUUCCCUGGAGCCAUAGAGCCGUUAUGACAAAACCUGGAGAAGUUCUUGAACUUAGGACUUUAUGGAAGAAGUGAAACAUUAGAUGACUGGACCCAUAUUGGAAAUGAAAACCAUAAUGGCCU
rnacentral:lncRNA from 1 species